UUCAGGCUAAUGGAAUCAUUCACUAGAUUUGUUGAAGAUCAAAAGUCACAGUUUAUUUUGAUGCAGCCUUUGACCGUCAAUCUUCUAGAUCGGCUAUGGGCUUACUUGUACGAAACAAGGAAGGGGAGAUUUUAGCAUCAAAGGCGGUCAUUCACUCGGAGAUAGCAACUCCGUUCACAACAAAGGCACAUGCAGGAUUACAGGCAGUAAAAUUAGGAAUUUUUAUGGGAUUUAACAAAAUGGAUGUUGUGGGAGACUUAAAAACUGUUAUUAGAAAAUGUCAAAGUACAAAAACAGAUAAAUCGGCCCUUGGAGCAAUCAUCAGAGACAUUCAAAGCAUAAAACACAGAUUCCAGGAGAUUGAGUUUCAUUUUGUCCCUAAAGCAGAAAAUAUGAUCACUCAUGUUAUUACGAAGGAAGCCCUUAAGAGAAGAGAGAGUUAUUACCUGGUGAGAGGGAUCUCUGAAUCCAUUCAUCAAGAACUGCAGAUCUAUAGACCAAGGCAUCCAGAUUGAAGAGAGGAAGAUGGAAACGUUUUGGUGAAAGAGAUAGUAGAGAAAAUUAAAAGUCUCUUUUUGAAAAACUGCUAUCAUUAAAUGGCUGGUCGGUGAUGGAAAUGAC
rnacentral:lncRNA from 1 species